AAUCGUUGCGCCGUUGAAAUUUCCAUCGGAAAUCGUCUGACCUGUCUGACUGUCGGGGAUAAUGCUUCACUUUUCCUGCAUUAUAAAUGUGCAAAAACGGUUAAUUAAAAAAAGUAAUUAAGGUGAUACUGCUGGACAUUUAAAGACUCUCUGCCUGACAGUAAAUUAUUACACCAGAGACCAGAUCGCCUUCAAUUUGCUAUGAAAAUUUUAGUACCUUAUAACACAAGGUACAGUCCUGCAUUUCUGACCGGUUUCGCUUUUAAGGUUCAUCCCGCGCGGACGCUUAUCGCUUGCGUCGGCUUCACGUCUUAGCUGCGUCGCAGUUCCACCUUGGUGUGUAAAGGUAAAACCAUCCGUUGAGGAAAAUGAUUACAGAGUGGCAAACCUGUUGAAUAGUGUAAGUCGCUUCCGCAGGAAAUGCAGCUCUGGAUUUUUCCACUCGCGCUGGCCCUUAACCGCCAUUCAUUGAAAAAAUAGCUGGGUUAUGUCUGUUGGCAGAUUAACACUCAAUGCUUACGUGGCGCUUUCGGCUGUAACAAUACCUGGCUAGGCAACCUAGCUGCGACACAGCGGUUACACCGACGAAACGGACAAUUGCGGCCAUGGGCAAAAAGGCUGCGGGAGGGCAGAAUUUCAGUUAAUAAACCUAAUAAAGGUUUUUGGCGCCUUCCUUCUUUACAGAGUUAAACACAGAGUUCAAGUCCAGCGGGCGGCAACUGCCCUUCUGCUCGACGAGUCAUGAGACCAGGUCGGUCAAGUUAUGCCGCCGUUUGAGGCAAAGAGC
rnacentral:lncRNA from 1 species